rnacentral:rRNA from 1 species
AGUGAACGCUGGCGGUAGGCCUAACACAUGCAAGUCGAACGACAGCACAGUAAGAGCUUUCUUCUACGGGUGGCGAGUGACGGAUGGAUGAGGAAUACAUCGGAAUCUACUAUUUCGUGGGGGAUAACGUAGGAAAACUUCCGCUAAUACCGCAUACGACCUACGGGAGAAAGCAGGAGAUAUUCAGACCUUGCGCGAUUGAAUGAGCCGAUGUCGGACUAGCUAGUCGGCGGGGUAAAGGCUCACCAAGGCGACGAUCCGUAGCUGGUCUGAGAGGAUGAUCAGCCACACUGGAACUGAGACACGGUCCAGACUCCUACGGGAGGCAGCAGUAGGGAAUAUUGGACAAUGGGCGCAAGCCUGAUCCAGCCAUACCGCGUGGGUGAAGAAGGCCUUCGGGUUGUAAAGCCCUUUUGUUAGGAAAGAAAAACAGCGUGUUUAAACCCCGAUGUUCUGACGGUACCCAAAGAAAAAGCAACGGCUAACUUCGUG